GCAGUAGCCGCGGUAAUACGAAGGGUGCAAGCGUUAAUCGGAAUUACUGGGCGUAAAGCGCACGUAGGCGGCUUUGUAAGUCAGAGGUGAAAGCCUGGAGCUCAACUCCAGAAUUGCCUUUGAGACUGCAUCGCUUGAACGUCGGAGAGGUGAGUGGAAUUCCGAGUGUAGAGGUGAAAUUCGUAGAUAUUCGGAAGGACACCAGUGGCGAAGGCGGCUCACUGGACGACUGUUGACGCUGAGGUGCGAAAGCGUGGGGAGCAAACAGGAUUAGAUACCCGGGUAGUCCCUGUCUCUUAUAC
rnacentral:rRNA from 1 species